CCCAGAGGUCAUGCCGGCAUGUCCGGUGACCCUUGACCUUUGGGAAGCAAAGGAGAGAGAGGAGCGAUGGGCGUUCCAGGUGCUCAAGGUCUGAGUGGAACCAAAGGAGACAAGGUGUCCCCCAGGGUUGGGUGCUUGGUCCACUUCUCUUCAUUGUACAUGCUCCCCCUCGGUAACAUCAUCCGCCGCCAUCACCUCCAAUUCCACUGCUACACAGAUGAUGUCCAGCUACAUCUCCACAAAAUCUCUCCACCCUGACCGACUGCCUCACUGAAAUCAAAUCAUGGCUGCACUCCAACUUCCUCAAACUCAACUGACAAAUCUGACAUGCUCAUCGUGGGCCCCAAAUCCCUCACCAAAACUGCUCACAACUCUACUCUGUCCCCAUCCACUCACAUCCGCAACCUCGGAGUCAUUCUGGACAAUAAGCUCUCUUUUCAACACCGGGUCAACCACAUCACAAGAACUGCUUUCUUCCACCUCCAAAAUAUUGCCCGUCUCCGUCCAUCCUUCUCUGCCGCUGAAACCCUGAUCCAUGCCUUCAUCACCUCCACACUUGACUACUGUAACGGCAUCCUCUACGACUCAUCUUGCAAAAUUCUCAAACUCCAAUACAUUCAAAACUCUGCCGCCCGCCUGCUCAGCCACACCCGCUCCCGUGAGCACAUCACCCCAGUCCUCCAGAAACUCCACUGGCUCCCCAGUCCUCACCGGAUCCACUUUAAAUCCUCGUCCUCACCCACAAAGCCCUCCACAAGCAGGCCCCCUGCUACCUCACCAACCUGCUUCACCUCCAUACCUUCACGCAGCCUCCGCUCCUCUGAUGCCAACCUGCUCUCCCCACCAUGCAGAACCAAGCUUCGGACCUGGGGUGACAGCUUUCUCCAUCGCUGCUCCCACCCUCUGGAACACUCUUCCCAAACCCAUCCGUGACCAGUGUUGGGUUAGUUACUGAAAACUAGUUACUUUAUUUCAAAAGUAACUCAGUUACUUACACCAAAAAGUAAUGAGUUACUGUGAAAAGUAACUAUUUAAUUAGUUCUAUUUUUCUUUCUUUUUCUAAAGCUCCCAUUAAUGCCCUCUUAGCCUUCAUUUCAGUACUGUUAUUGCACUGGAGAAUAAUACAAUUUGUUGAUCAACUUGACUUUUUGAUUGAUUGAAACUUUUAUUAGAUUGCACAGUACAUAUUCCGUACAAUUGACCACUAAUUGGUAACACCCCAAUAAGUUUUUGAACUUGUUUAAGUCCACGUUAAUCAAUUCAUGGCAUGCAUUUUUAUCUUCCUUUUAACAUAAUUAAUGAAAAACAGUGCAACAUCAAAAGACACUUCUCCUUUCUUUAAACUUGGACCAAUGACCAAUAAUAAAAACCAAGUUAAAGUGCAACAUAAGAAGGCACAUCUUCCUUGAAACAUAGGUAGUGAAAUAAAGCCUCACAUCUGGAGUGAUGCUGCUGUCUUCCACACUUGGAGUCAUGGAUUGUACAAUCCUUGUUUUCAGUGGCAGGAUCAUUGACACAGAUGGUGAAGUUUCAGUGCUCAGUAGAGAUGGAACAGUUCUGAGGGGUUUAAGCACCUGGAGGACCUCCUCUGCCACUCUCAAGUCAUCAUCAGACAGGUUGAUGAUGUCUGACAUUUGUCUUCAGGGUGUUGUGGGUCAAUGCAGAGUAUAUAGCUGCCUGCUGCUCCAACAUAUCACAAAUUGAUUAACGUGGACUUAAACAAUUUGAAAAACUUAUUGGGGUGUUACCAUUUAGUGGUCAAUUGACCACUGAUGGAUGGAAUAUGUACUGUACUGUGCAAUCUACUAAAGUCUCAAUCAAUCAAAAUCAUACUUGAGCAGAGUAGACUUCUUUUAUUUUUCUGUUUUUCGGCUCAUCUUUCAGGCUCUCUGUCCUUUCC